rnacentral:rRNA from 1 species
AUGAAGUCCAACCCAGCCCUAGAUUUCCUUCUUCUCCUACUCUUCUUGAUGUGCAUCCAGCCGCCGCCGUUCUUCUCUUUCUUCAGUAGGUCGGUGGCGCUAUCAGGGUCUUCAUCAAAAUCUUCUCCUAUUCAUGAUGUGCAUCAAGUUACCACUGUUCUUCUUUCUCGGCAACUCGGCAGCGCCAUCAGGGUCUUCCUUAAAGUGUUUACCCUACAGCCAUGCGUUGCCGUACACAUCGCACAUCGGAAUCCAUCCAUCCAUCAAGGCAGUAAGAUUUACUUUAGCCUCCUCCUCCAUGCCAUGGAUUCAAAAUUACUGCGCUCAAUUAUAUAUGUCUAA